UUUCCCCGUUACGCGCCCUGCCGCGCCGCUGGCGGGCCCUGGCGCCGCCUCGCCGGCCGGGGGCGACCGGGCAGGGUCAGGCAGGGGGCCGGCCGCCACCCCCGCAGCCCCCGGGCCAGUCCCGCCGCCCACUCUCAGAAGGGAGCUGGGGUCCAGGCUAGGAGCCGCCCCCGCCCGCAGCGGGAAGGUGCUGAGACCAAUGCAGAGAUGCUGUUGAGUUUUUCCUCACCUGAGUUUUUGCAAGAAGUCAGCAGAGCCCGACAAGUUCUCCUGGGGAACAGCAGGGGAUUAGGUUGGAAGGGUCCUCAGGAAUCAUCUAGUCCAACCUCUCUAGGAAGGGCACAGUCUAGACAAGAUGGCCCAGCACCCUGUCCAGCCGACUCUUGAAGGUGUCCAACGUGGCCGAGGCAACCACUUCCCUGGGGAGAUUAUUCCAAUGGUGACUGUCCUCACUGUGAAAACUUUCCCUCUCGUGUCCAAUCGGAAUCUCCCCACGAGCAACUUGUGUCCAUUCCCCCUUGUCCUCUCCAUGUGACUCCUUGUGAAAAGGGAGUCUCCAUCUUCUUUGUAGCUACCCCUGAAGUACUGGUACAUGGUGAUGAGAUCCCCUCUGAGCCUCCUCUUCUCAAGGCUGAACAAACCCAGCUCUCCCAGCCUAUCCUCGUAUGGCAGCUUCCCAGUCCUCUGAUCAUCUUGGUGGCCCUUCUCUGGACCCCUUCCAGCCUGUCCACAUCUCUUUUGUAUAGCGGGGACCAGAACUGUACACAGUACUCCAGGUGUGGCCUGACAAGCACUGAGUAGAGUGGGAUGAUGACUUCUUUCUCUCUGCUGGCGAUGCCCUUUUUGAUGCAACCCAGCAUCCUGUUGGCCUCCUUGGAUGCAGCAGCACGCUGUUCGCUCAUGCUGAGCUUUCUGUCCACCAGGACCCCCAGGCCCCUUCUCACAGAGCUGCUCUCCAGCCGGGUGGAUCUCAGUCUGUGCUGCACUCCCAGAUUAUGUUUUCCCAGGUGCAUAACCUUACACCUGUCUUUGUUGAACUUCAUAAGGUUCUUGUUGGCCCACUGUCAUGGUUUUAGCUGGGAUAGAGUUAAUUUUCUUCACUGCAGCUGCCAUAGUGCUGUGCUUUGGACUUAGUAUGAAAAUAACAUUGAUAACACACUGAUGUUUUAGUUGUUGCUGGGUACUAGUUGCUUGUACUAGUCAAGGACUUUUCCAGCUUCCCAUGUUCUGCUGGGUGCACAAGAAGCCAGGAGGGGAGGGGGCACAGCUAAGAAAGUGGAUCCAAACUGGCCAAAGGGAUAUUCCAUAUCAUGUAACGUCAUGCCCAGUAUGUUAACUGGGAAGAGCUGGCUGGGGGAGGGAGACAGCAAUUGCGGCUUGGGGAUGAGCAGUGUUGGUCGGCAGGUGGUGAGCGAUUGUAUAGUUUGUGUUUCUGUUUUUUUCCCUUUUUCCCUUUUCCUUUUUAUUAUAUUAUAAUUAUUGUUAUUAUUAUCAUAAUCAUUAUUACUAUAAUUAUUAUUUUAUUGCAUUUAUUAAACUUCUUAUCUCAA